rnacentral:lncRNA from 1 species
GGGAUAAAAAAAAUAGUAUAAAAGGAGAGAAAAAAGGCGGUGGAAAAUCAGUCGAGUGAGGAUCUCCGACACGUCAACAACUGCAGCGUACUAUUUGUCAUCAACAGGAUUAUUCAUCGUGAAAUCAUGGUUUUCUAGUUAAUCAUGGUGUCGUUGAUGGCUGGGUCGACCAAUGGUGUACCGAUGUCUCCUGGGUAUGGAGGAUUCCAAACCGUAACGCCGCCGCCUUACUUCUCAACAACAACAUACGAAACAACCGGUACUACAUCACCAAGGCUCCAGGGUACCACCACAUCUUAUAAUACCCCGAGCUACUACACCGAAGCCCUGAAGUAUAACUCUGCCCCGAGCUACACUACCAAAGAGCCGGAGUACCAAAGAGAGUUCUUUUUUUCAACAACUGGAUUGUUCAUCGUUUAACCAGUUCAUAAUUAUGGCUAAUUAUAGCGCCGUGCUGCUGUUGGGCGUUGUAUGACUGGGUCGACCCCUGGUGUACCGAUGUCUUCUGGGUAUAGCGGUUAGGCGGAUACCAAACACCGCCGCUCUACUACACAACAUCAACUUUAACAACCAGUUACUACGCCGAGGCCCCCAAGUACUACACCACUAAGGCGUCGGAGUACCAUAACUUACGCUUCGCCGAGUUACUACACCGAUGCCCCGAAUUAUUACUCUGCCUCGAGCUACACCACCAAGACAGCGGAGUACUACACGACUACGUAUGCUGUCCUAUCUGACAACACCGAGGCUCCCAAGUACUACUGUGUUCCCAGCUACUACAUCGAUGUUCCAGUUACUACCCCGAGGCUCCAGUUACUACCCCGAGGCUCCAGUUACUACCCCGAGGCUCCAGUUACUUUCUCGACCAAAACGGGCGAAUACUACACCGAAGCGCCCAAAUACUACUCUGCCCCGAUCUACACAGCCACAACUGAGACGGUCAAGCAUUACGCAGCCCCGACGUACUACACAGAAGCUUCUCCUUCCCACUACGUUGAACAGAAAUGCUACACUGAUUCUCCAGUUUACUACACCCCAAACGGGAUUUUUUUUUCAAAUUUGGCGGUUAUAUUUUAAUAGUUGGCAGUCACCGAUAUUUGAUUGUGGACGUUUGAUGAGAAAAUAAAUUAAUUGCGGGUAA